UCAAAACAGGGCACUAAACCAGAUCCGGGGUUCAAUUCUGUUGUUUUUUCGGAUAAUAGCCGGCUCUAAUUCUCUGCCGGUGUGCAGGAUAUAGCGCAAAUAAAACCAUUGUCCUAGAGUUUUCCAGGAUUAGCAUGUAGAGGAGAUUCGAAACAGUGAGUCGGUUCAGCGGUCUCUCAUUUAAAUAACCUGACCCGUAAAUGAUUGCUGAUUUUUAUUUGAGGACCUCUGCUUUACGACGUCGCACAAACCAGGUAGCAGUCUUCCGGUCUGCCAUCAAAUAUACCAAGAGAUAGGGCACCGAAAAAUAAACAAAGACUCGAGUUCAUAAUGCACGCCUCGACCCCGAGAAGUUUUAUUUAAAACGGGCCACGAAACACGGCAGAAACGGUAUUUUUUACGUCGCGACCCCGAGAGUUAGCGAGAGGACGGAAUUAUUUUUAUUGUUGCAAUCAUGAAGUUAUUUUUUAAGUGAUGCGGAAAUAUAAUGCAUACAGCGCAGGUAAAUGAUGAAUAAAAAAUUAUUAUUUACAGGG